rnacentral:rRNA from 1 species
GAUGAACGCUGGCGGCGUGCCUAAUACAUGCAAGUCGAGCGAACGGACGAGAAGCUUGCUUCUCUGAUGUUAGCGGCGGACGGGUGAGUAACACGUGGAUAACCUACCUAUAAGACUGGGAUAACUUCGGGAAACCGGAGCUAAUACCGGAUGGUAUUUUGAAACGGAAGGGUCCAAAAUUGAAAAAGGUCUUUCUGUUACUUAAUGAUUGGACCGCGCUGCAUUAGCUAGUUGGUAAGGUAAAGGCUUACCAAGGCAACGAUGCAUAGCCGACUUGAGAGGGUGAUCGGCCACACUGGAACUGAGACACGGUCCAGACUCCUACGGGAGGCAGCAGUAGGGAAUCUUCCGCAAUGGGCGAAAGCCUGACGGAGCAACGCCGCGUGAGUGAUGAAGGUCUUCGGAUCGUAAAACUCUGUUAUUAGGGAAGAACAUAUGUGUAAGUAACUGUGCACAUCUUGACGGUACCUAAUCAGAAAGCCACGGCUAACUACGUG